rnacentral:piRNA from 1 species
UUGCAUCACUUGGUGAAUGGGCCAUC